rnacentral:rRNA from 1 species
AUGAGCUCAAUAAAAAUGACACAGUUGGGAAGCCCCACGCUCCCCUCGGCCCCGUCCUUGGGCGCGGCCGCCUCGCCGGCGCCCCGUCCGCCACUGGCCGCCCCGUUGCCUCCCCCUCCAUUCAGGCCGGUCCGCCUCGCUCCUGGGGCCCCGUGGUUCUUCUCCGAGGAGCAGCGACUGCGUCUGCGGUCUUCUGCGCUGGUUUCGGCUCCGGAUCUGAGCCAGCCCCCCCGGCCUACGUCUGCUGCCUCCGCGUCGGAUCCGGCCGCUGCGGCCAUGCCUACGUCUCCCUUCGCUUCGCGGCUGUCGCGUCUGCCCGGGGAUCCGGGCGAACUGGUGCCGGAUUCGCUGCCCCCCCUCCCGGGCCUUGAUGGCGCUCUGGCCCCCUCGGCCUGCAUUCAAGGCGCCGAGCGCAAUCAAGGCGAGGUGUCCUCGCGUCCAUCGGCAGCUAUGGCGACCGGCGCCUUCAAUGCGGCCUCUCGCCUCCGCUCAGCCAUUAUCAUCCCGCCCGGCUCUGACCAAGCCGUCUUCGUGCCUCCAGGCUGUCCACGCACGCCGGACGAUGUCCCAUCCUCGCCUCGGGAGGAGGCCGGAUGGACUGCUGCGCGCCGCCCGCGCCGCCCUCGACGGGACGCGCCUUCAAGCCGGCCUGCUGCAUCCCCUGCCCAUCCCGCGGCUCUCCACCUCGAGGCGCAGCGUCGGGCGAGCCAGCUCCACUUCAAAAGGCGCACGGAGGGCCUCUGCUCUCGUUGCCUUGCUCCGCAGCACCACCGCUCCGUCGCUUGCAGAGAUCCAAUCCGCUGCCUGUCCUGCAAGCUCUCCGGUCAUACCGAGCGCAAGUGCCCGCUGCGCUCCAAGCCAAGGCCUCCCCCACCCAGGCUCCCCCCUUCCACGGCUGCUCGCCCUCGUUCAUCGCCAACUUCGCCGGGCGCGAGUUCCUAG